rnacentral:rRNA from 1 species
UACGUAGGGAGCAAGCGUUGUCCGGAAUCAUUGGGCGUAAAGCGUGCGUAGUCGGUAUUGAGAGUCGCGGGUGAAAUCCCAGGGCUUAACCCUGGAACUGCCUGCGAGACCUCAGUACUAGAGUGUGAGAGGGGAUAGUGGAAUACCAAGUGUAGCGGUGAAAUGCGUAGAGAUUUGGUGGAACACCGGUGGCGAAGGCGGCUAUCUGGCUCACAACUGACGAUCAGGCACGAAAGCGUGGGGAGCAAACAGG